CUUCGGUCUGGUGGCGAGUGGCGAACGGGUGAGUAAUAUAUCGGAACGUGCCCAGUCGUGGGGGAUAACGUAGUGAAAAUUACGCUAAUACCGCAUACGAUCUAAGGAUGAAAGCGGGGGAUCGCAAGACCUCGCGCGAUUGGAGCGGCCGAUAUCAGAUUAGGUAGUUGGUGAGGUAAAGGCUCACCAAGCCAACGAUCUGUAGCUGGUCUGAGAGGACGACCAGCCACACUGGAACUGAGACACGGUCCAGACUCCUACGGGAGGCAGCAGUGGGGAAUUUUGGACAAUGGACGCAAGUCUGAUCCAGCCAUUCCGCGUGCAGGACGAAGGCCUUCGGGUUGUAAACUGCUUUUGUACAGAACGAAAAGGUCUCUAUUAAUACUAGGGGCUCAUGACGGUACUGUAAGAAUAAGCACCGGCUAACUACGUGCCAGCAGCCGCGGUAAUACGUAGGGUGCAAGCGUUAAUCGGAAUUACUGGGCGUAAAGCGUGCGCAGGCGGUUAUAUAAGACAGAUGUGAAAUCCCCGGGCUCAACCUGGGAACUGCAUUUGUGACUGUAUAGCUGGAGUGCGGCAGAGGGGGAUGGAAUUCCGCGUGUAGCAGUGAAAUGCGUAGAUAUGCGGAGGAACACCGAUGGCGAAGGCAAUCCCCUGGGCCUGCACUGACGCUCAUGCACGAAAGCGUGGGGAGCAAACA
rnacentral:rRNA from 1 species